CACAGGUCCAACUAAAUAACUUGGGAGAUCAACUUGGUCUAGAUACUUAUGGCCGAACUUGAAGUAAACGAUUAAGCGAGAGCUCAAUUGGGUAGUAAUUAAACCAUGAAGCUUGGGAACUUACUUUAUGAGUUCCAGUGUUAGUGGUAAUUGUGAAUGUUCAAAUCUAUCUGUGCUGUUUGUGUUAAUUACUGCGAUAGCGAAUCUAACGCUGCACCAGCAAUGUCGUUAACAGACGCUGCACAACCCAACAAGCAGAAAACUGACUGCAGCAGCUUAUCAUUGCAACUCUUGCACCACUUUUUGUAUAGAUAGAACUGGAGCGAGCAAUUUUUUCAUAGGCUAACACCUUUUGUAUAGAUACCCCUAGACCCACUAUUUUUCGGAAAAUGUUCCAGCAACAACUGUAACAAAGUGAACCUCAAACUUAAAUAGCCUAUUUGUUCAACAGUCCACUAUGAUAAGAUCAUCUUUUGUUUUAGAUGAUCUACAGUAAUGAAAAAAGUUCUA